AACUGUUGAGUACGUGACGUCUUAGAGUUUGAGAGAACGAAUCGAUGGGUAAAUUUGCGCAAGUCACAAAACUUGCCAUGCUAGAGCUGUGUCAAUGUCAAUGUCAAUUCCAAUGCCAAUGUCAAUGUCUACGGUCACUCGGACAUUCAAAAAAAAUAUUUCGUAAUUGAGAUAAUAAACGAUUAUUCUUUUUGCUUGUAUUUUUUUAGAUUAAUGGUUUUAUUUUUGUUUACUGGCUGCUGUUUAAAGAUCUGCUGCAUAAUUUCAAAUCAAAAAUUCAAAAUAUAUAUUUUUAAGGAGAGGGUUGGCACUUUUCGCUAUUUCAUUCAAGUGGACAAACGGAACUGUCUUUGUUGCACUUGUACAGUAAAUGGCUUUGUCCAAAUUUCUUACGCAACUGAAUAGAAACUUUGACUAAAUUGGACCGAGAAUCACUAGAUUAUGGAGUACUGCAUCAAGCCGUACAGGGUAGAAGUAGCAUUAGUGCCAUUGCUACAUUUUUGGACAUUUACUGCUUUAUUUUAAUUAAUGAAAAGAACAAAAUAAAAUUCCCGUUUCAAUAGAGGGAUAAAAGUAUCUUUGAACACAUUUUUAAAAAUAAAUAAUGUCUGUCCUGCCUUGUUAUGACAAAACGACGUAUCUCGAGAUACAGUGUUUUGUCGUUACAAAGCUAAAAAGGUUUAUUUUGUGUCACUUAAUAAUAGGGUAUCAUCAAAAUUUUACUAAUUUAAUUAAUUAUGCUAAUAAUAUUGAUCAAAUGUGCGUAUAAAAGAAAUGAAAAAAAAACGUAUAUUUUUUGCAUUGGAAAUUACAGCGUUUUGUCAUAACAGUUUCAUCUAUUUAUCAAAAUAAGCAUUAGUUUAUUACGAUACAAAAAACGUAUCUCGAGUUACAACGUUUUGUCAUAACAGAAAUUAAUUUUUCUGUUAAAUUUUACUCAAAUUCUGUUAAAACUUUAAACGCUAUUUUCUCGAAACUAUAAUUUUUGAGAUACGUCGUUUUGUCAUGACAGGGCAGGGUAUUCUAUAAAGUAUUGUAUUUAAAUUUUUUCAAUGUCCAAAACCGGCCCUAAGUGGCCAAAAACGGUAACUCUGCUCCAUAUUUUCACGGAGAUAUUAUUCUUGUUUGAAAUCCUAUGGUGUCAGAGUAAAGUCUGAGGUGAAAAUGGCGCCUGUUAUCACUCAAGGGUUAAGUUUCAAAUUUCUGUUAAAUUUUUGCUCACCUAUUUUAAAAAAUUUUAUUUACGAAUGUUAAUAAAAAUAUUUUUACAUCACAGGAAAUUUAAAAAUCGAAUUGAUAAUAAAUCACGGGGAUCAAAUACUCUUACAUCAUGCAAAUGAAGCGAAUUUUUUUUUAAAUUUAUUUUUAUUUUCUUUUAAAAAAAUUUUUAAAUCCUGUCACUAAUGCGCAUAACAAUGCAGGUCACUUUCUAAAUAUCUCUGGCACCCUGUAGAUUAAGGAUAAAAAAAAAAAUAAUCUAC